rnacentral:lncRNA from 1 species
UCCAUACUUCCGCGGUGAUCUGUAAUUGUGUAUACUUAUAGAAAAUAUAUUGUAAAGUGCUAUUUUUUUGUUAAGAUCAGGUGUUAUCUCUCUAAUUGAAUGUUUAGAUGCACGCUUUGAUACCUUCCAGUGAAGUUAUUCAAUGAAAUGGUGCGAAAAGGCAUAACCUAUUAGCAGAGAUCAUAUGCUUGAAGUCUUCAAGCCAACUAUCCUGCUUCCUGGUUGGNNNNNNNNNNNNNNNNNNNNNNNNNUUGGAAAUGAGAGGUUUUCUUGGGGUUGUGUACUCUUCUUGAUGUGUUUCCUAACCCUUUUCCCCAAUUUGGGUGGUACAUUCUCCAGCUCAUUUUUUGGUGCUCCAUACUUCCGCGGUGAUCUGUAAUUGUGUAUACUUAUAGAAAAUAUAUUGUAAAGUGCUAUUUUUUUGUUAAGAUCAGGUGUUAUCUCUCUAAUUGAAUGUUUAGAUGCACGCUUUGAUACCUUCCAGUGAAGUUAUUCAAUGAAAUGGUGCGAAAAGGCAUAACCUAUUAGCAGAGAUCAUAUGCUUGAAGUCUUCAAGCCAACUAUCCUGCUUCCUGUUGACUGAUUAUGUAAGUGGUUUUUGUGUAGAGUCAGAUGUUCUGAUAUUCUCUGAAACAUUUCUGGGCAUAGCUAUGCCUAAUCUGGAUAUGCUGGUUGCAUUUCCCAAUAAUCGGAAUUGCAUCAUGAUAUGAAUCAUAAAAUAAUAAUCACUAUAUCAGACCUAUUGUAAAGCAGGAAGCAGGUAACUUUCAUGAUUUGUAUCCCAAGUUGAUAGCAGAAAAAAGUAGAGUAAUUGUUUCUAUGCGGUGGCAAGCUCGUUGAAGACAGAUGAAAGCUGUCACACUGAUACAGGGCUUAGCUGUAUACCCUCUUCCAUGUAUUUCAAUGUUUUAUUAUGUUUGUGUCAUUCAGUAACUGAAUUCAUUGAGAAUACUGAUAUGAACAAUUUGUUGUUGUGUUAUAUGCAAAUAAGACUAUAAAGGAAUACUUCUGUAACCUGUAGUUCUCUCAGUUUGCGGAGUUAAAACGAUCUGUAAGGUAUCCUUGGAUUUUAAGUUUGUGAUUUUGUUUUGCUUUCAAC